GGGCUGUCUAGAUACAAUAAUGUGAAGAAAUGCUUACUUAUUUGUGUUACUAUAAUGGCAUUCUUCUUGAAAUUUUUGUACAUGUUUAAACACUAAAACAAUGUUUAUAACUUUGUAUAUUGCUAUGUGACAAUCUAAAAUGCAUAUAGGGGUUAUUGUAGAGAAACUUGCCUGAAAAAACAUGGCAAAAUUUUAACAUUACUGUAUAAAGAGAUGAGAAAUUAAGGGUCUGCUGCUACUUUCCCACAUUUGUAAUUUUAAAGGUGUUUCAAAAGCAACGUUUAAACAACGAAGGGAAUUCUAGAGAUAUAAUUGAUUUGUGCCUGUCCUGAUUGUUGCCUAUUGACAUCUUGGGAAUGUUGGGCUGUUGUAUCCAACUUUGUAUCCUCAGUGGCUGUAAUGAAUAGUUUUGAGUGAUCAUGAAGAACCUGUGACAUAGACUAGUGCAGCAGAGUUACCCAGCGAAAUAAAGACUGUUGGGUUACCGAAGGAAAGAAGAAGAAAGAAGACAGGAUUUGAGGUGAACAUGGUAAAAAAUGACACACUUGCAUAUAACCUGAGGAUAGCUGGCAUCAGGAACAUCCUUAUGCAACUAUGCCUAUGGAGUUCUUAUUCUUAUGCAAACAUGCCUAUGGAGUUCUUUCAUUUAUAAAUUUCAAAUUUAAACCACAGGUGAUGACAGUUACAAGAAAACAUACUUUUGCCACUUUUGUUUUUAAAUCUCAGUAAUUGGUACCACCAGACCUGUUGCAGUAUUCUCAUUCCAAGUGUUCUUCACUCCCAUCUUUGGACCCUGGAGAAGCCCUUGGCCAUCAUAAUCUGUGUCCUUUAGGUGAUGAUUGAUUAGGAUACUGAUCACUUCUGCAACCAUCUUCACUAAAAACCAAAAGACAGUCUUCAUAAUGUAUGUAGACUCGGCAUUGAUGUGUUACAAUAGACACUCCCUGUAGAUCAGAAAAACUGGACUUAGAAGGCUCAAGUUCGAAAGUGACGUGAAGGAUGUUAUUGGAGAGAAUUGUAACCAGGCAUGUUGAGAGAUUUCAAUUGUUGCCAUUGGACUAAAUCUCAGGAGCUUUACUGAUGGAGGCAUCAUUACAUGGAGAAGAUCAGCAUGGAGUGAUUGCAAGGCUUCGUUUCAGUGCUCUCAUAAACAUUAGGUUCUUGUAUUUAAAAUUUUAACUUAUCACAGGGAAAUUUAAAAUUGAUUCAUAAAAAAUCGUCUUUUUCAAGAUCUCAAAGGACAUGGAAAUUUGUGAAAAUAUUCCCUGUCUAUACUUGCAUUUUUUCUCUCAAUUGGUGCUUAAAAUUACUUUGCAAGUUGGAAAAAUAAUGCAGUUUUAAUUUCAUUUGCAACAAAUUUAAUAGAUUAAUUAGGAGAGACUAGAUCUCUUUAAAAAUUGAGUCUUCCUACCCAACAGCAAGUAUCUCCCUCUGUACUCUCCCAGGUGGUGAACAUAUGGACAAGAGGAUCAUAGAAAUCUUCACAGUGGUUUCAUCCACAGCAUCACCCAAUUGCUGUCAUUAUUUACCCCUUUCAGAAGCUUGUCUCAUCUUUGUAUCCCGAAAGGCAUGCCUUGAUAUAUGUAUCCUUGGGAAUAGAAGUGACGUUGCUUUUGACAAGUAAUUUCCUUGAAUGUUGUUAGUAGUUCUCUGUGCUCUGAAUGUAUCUUGUGUUUUUCUUUAUUAUUGUUUUUACCCCAUUGGACUUUUUUUAUCCAUGUUUUACUUUACAAAUGUGAGAUUUGUGUGUGAUAAAUAUGAUUAGUGCAACCCUCUGGACACCUUGCUCAUGGCCCAGUUAAUAACCAGGCUUUCCCAUGACCCCAUGCUUCCCAUGUACUAUUUUUGGUAUCAUUUUUAAGAUACUUUGUUCCUCUUUUGAAUCAUAAGCCCACAGUUUUUAGGUCAAUCCCUUUUAAAAAAAUGUUUUUUUAAAAGAUCCUUUUAAAACUUUUGUAUUGCCUGUAACAGGCUGCCUCCAGUUUCACUUUAUAUUGAACCUACUAGGUCUCAAUAUAGAACAUGAUCUGAAUCUGAGUGUAGUUUUUCUCUUCCCAAUAUACAAAUAUAAUUCCUGGAUGCCAUCACAACACUAGUGUAUAGGUGAACCAUACGCUUUCAUUGACAUUUGAAGCCAUGGUAAAGCAAUCUUGUAGAAAAUGGUUCCACAAUUUUCUUGGCAUCACUGACAUGUUCUUAUUUGUGACUGGAGUAAAAACUCAAGUUAGCAAAGAGAUUUUCAUUUAAUCCAUAUUACUCUGAUUUUCACUCAUAUCUGUUUACUCUGAGUGGGCUUAUUAUAGAUAGCUGUGUUUAUUCGAAGUUUUGUUUACUUCUGGAACAUAAGCUGCCCUGUCAUUAGAGAACUAGUAAUUACAUUGUCCAGACUCUUACUAUACAGGCUAAAACUGAAUGCAUUGAUAUGGGCCACAGAGAAUGAAUGGGUUAUUAAAGAAUUUAAAGUGAAUUGUCAUUCAUCCUUCAUUUUCCAUUCCUACUUUCUAGGGUGACCAUUUAUGGUAUAGUGGUCAAUAAUUUAUCUAAGCUUAUAAAUUUAUGUGCAAUUUAUUUUACAAAUAUGUAGUCAAUAUGGUUGUAUUUUACAAAUUUAUUUUUUUUAAUAUUUUUGGACAUAUUUUCAAACCAGUAAUUAUAGCUUAAGUACACACUUUCCAUUGGAUGUAAAGUACAUACCAUAGUACACUUAUGCAUUUCUCUAUUUGAGAAAUAGAGGUUAACUGUUUGUUGUUGUAUAUAAUACUAUGAUAUAUGUUUUAUAUACAUAUAUAACUGAUCUCCUAAUUCUAUGAUAGAUUUAGAUGUGACAUUGUGGAUCAUUAAUUGUGCAUACUUUGAUUUUAGUUGAUAUUUUGAAAUUACUUUUGAAAUGUUUUCUAAGCCAGCAUAUGCAAUGUAGUAUAAUGGCAGUGCUAAUUUUCACAAAAAUCUGUACAUGAUGGAUAUUAUCAAUCCUUUAAACUUUUGGCUAAUCUAAUAGGUGAAAAUAUUAUUUAAAUUAAGUAUAAAUUAUAAACGGGCAAACAUAAAAAGACCAACUAAAAUGGAAAGCGAUAGUCCACAUUUCAUCUAAUUUCAAGAGUUGUGAGACAUAGAAACCAUAAACGUUUUUAAAAUGUAGUGCUUCUUGGAGGUUCAUAAACUUCCUAAGUAUAUCUUAUACCAGUGUUUAAUUUUUGACUAUUUAUUUUUGGAAUAAUUUUAGAGUCAGUGUUGCAAAAAUCAUGUGGGCAACCCCCAUAUAUUCUAUAAUGUGUGUCUACCUCAGUGGUUCACAGUAAAUGGUGAGUGAUGUCACUUAUUGAUGACAUUAAAUUUGAUCACUUGAUUCAAUUGAUAUUUACUAUGUUUCUCCACUUUGUAAUUAAUAUUCUAUGGGGAAAUCAUUUGAAUAUGUGUAAUUUUGCAGUAUAGUUUUAGCAUUCACAAGUUAAGUCUUGUGAAUCCAACUUUUACACUAUGGUUUUAGCAUUCACAAGUAAGUCUUAGCAGAAUCAAUGAUUUUUCAAAAUCUCUUUUACUGGUUAUGUAUAUUAGUUGGCAUUUUUUUUAAAGGGAGUUUGUGUAUCAUGGCUUGUGAGAAAUGCUCAAUGAAAUAUUUUCUAACUUAAAUACCGUGUGAAAGAAUGAGAUGGUGAUUCACAGUUCAGAGCUGAGAAAGGGUUAUUUAAAAGAUUUAAUGAAGUUUAUGUCUAAACUAGAGAGCUGUAUGUGAGAGGCAUAUAUAACUCUUUAAGAGAUAGUUGAUUAAAUACAUGGUAGAGGGAGAAAAGCAUGUUUUUGUAAUAAGUUCCAACUAGGGAAUGUAACCAUGCCAUCAUUACUGGUGAAAUGGGCAACAGUUUUCUUGAACUGACUGUAUAGUAGGUUCAGAUUCACUAUAGACUGAUAUUCCAUAUAGAUGUUCAAUUACCAGUGUUCCUCCCUAUUUUUUUUAAUUUGUUAGGUUUCCAUAAACCUGUUAUAGUGUCUGAGAUUGAUGAUGAAUGACAUAUGUUGCAGAUGCUAUCUAAAGAUGAGUACUCAGUUUUCAGAGUUGUUAUUUAUGUUUAACCUGUCACUGUUCCUCCAACAUUCUGUAGUGAUGUCUAUAGAUGAUAUAGACUGCUGCAUUUAUUAUGUUGGCUAAAAUCUCUAUAUCCCUAAAUUCUGUUCUCGGUUAUCUAUAACCAGGGAACUAUAAGCAGACUACUAAAUGUAAUCUCAAAUUUUAUGCUAGUUAAAUAAGAUAUAGAGAAUGAAGAUAUUCUAAGUUUUGAAAAGUGACACAUGGCCUGGUUAAAUUGAUGAAAUGUUCUUUUCUUUUUUCUUUUUUUUUUUUUUUUGGCCACACCUGUAGCAUGUGGAAGUUCCCAGACCAGGGAUCAAACCUUCACCACAGCAGCAGCCUGAGCCAUUGCAGUAGACAACACUGGAUCUUUAACCUACUGCACUACAAGAGAACUCCUUGAUGAAAUAUUGAAAUCUUGUUAAUCAUCCUGAAUAUGAUGAGUUUCAAAAUAUGGAUCAGCGUUCCCUAGGUGCAGGCCAGGAAUAGAAAUGUCAUACCAGUUUGCAAAUUGUAAAUCAGUGAAGAGUAUUUAUAGAGGCAUGGGCAUGACCUAAGGCUUUGGCUCAAAAUGGUCAUCUGAAUAUUCUCCACCCCCUGUAAUCUAAAUUUCUGCUUAGUCUCUGAUGACAUGCUUAUAGUGGAGGCUCAGUGAAUAUUGGCCAUAGUGUGUGAAGGGGAAAAUGGAAGUGAAGCCAAAAUUUGUGACUAUAAACAAAUGAAUUAUGAACUUAGUGAAUGUGCAGAUAAAUAGGCAAAUGAAUUUCCAGUAAAGAAACUUGUCAUCGAAAGAAGGAAAAAGAAUUGAAGAAGACAGGGGCCAAGGGGAGUUUGUCAUCAUUUUAAUAUAUAUAUAUGGUGCUUUCCCAUGUAAUAUAAUGGUAUUUUGGAAAAUUUGAAAUCUGCCUGGUUAAAACACAUUCUCCUUUCUUCCAUGAGGGCACAUGUAUUAUUGUUUCUUGUUGAUGUUAAAACAGUUUUAUUACCAAAUACAUACAUUCAGCCUGAAUCUAGCAAGCGCUUAAAAUUUCCAUGAUAUAAAGUUUUUAAAAAAUAGGAAAUCAUAAUAAGGAAAGGAUGUUACUGUUUAAUUGUUCUCUGGGGUAAUAGAAACUGUGUUACUGAACACUUUUUAAUACAUUUUGGCCAAAUUUUGGGUUUCUUAGAUCACAAGGGAAGAAAGCUCUGUUUGCAAGUUUUAUAUUCAUAUUUUACCUACAGAUUAAGAUUUUGGUUUUUAAGGUAGAAACAGAAAUCUGAGGCUUAGGGGAGAGAUUGGAGAUUGAGAUACUACUUAAUCAGUACAAGUCUGUUAAUUAUGGACACGGAUAAAGAUGAGAUCUACAAAUGAAAUAUAUGUUGGAAUAUAUUGACCUGAAGACUGUGCCUUGGAUGCUCUAGCAUUAAGAUAGUGAGCUAAUGAGGAGGACCUAGUAUAUGAGAUUGACAAUAGUGGCUAGAGUCAUUGAGUUAAAAUGAAAAUAUUGUUUUGUCCAUGAAGAGAAAAGAAGAUUUGAAUUUCAAAAAGGAAUAACAGAGGCUGCAGGUGGCUUUUGUGUAGCACUGUAGGGUACAAUAAAGUUUGGAAAUGAAAGAGAUCAUUGAGUUUUGUAAAACUGCUCUAUGUACUGGCAGACUAACUAGUACUUUUUAGUAUGGGCAAGGCCAAAAACAAAAGAUCCCUCUGAGUCAACAGUUUGCCCUGUAAUACUGUUAGCAGUGUCAGUCUGGUACACAUGCAUGCUGAUGGCUUAUGAGAUGAUUCCAUGAAUCAUCAUAAAAUGAAAGUGAAUCUUAGUUGUACAGUUUGAGAUCCCUUUCAGAAUUCCACGCUAUAUGUAUACAAGAUAUAACUGAUUUCUUCACUACAAGUUGUCAGUAUUGCCAUAAUAACUUUCAUGCAAUUUUAUCCUUUAAGUUUCCACCUGUGUGUCUCUGUUCCUGCAUCCAUUGGCUAUGGUAGAAUAUUUUGUUAAGAUAGAAUAUCUUAUUAAGAAUAUCUUAUUAAUAUAGAAUAUCUCAUCAAGAUAGCUCAGUAGUUCCAAAGAUCUUGGCUUUUUGAGAUCUUGACCAAAGACUAUUGAAGAAAUGAAUGGGGGAGGGUCCAAAUGAAAAAGCAUCAACCUAAUCAUGAACAAAUGAAAAAGGAUGACGGUAGGAAUCAAAGUAGUAAAGUCAGAUGAAAUAUAUAGAUGACAGAAUUCUGAAGGAAAAAACUGUAAGGAUAAAGCCAAUAUAUGCUGAACCUAUGUUUUAUUUUACUU
rnacentral:lncRNA from 1 species